ensembl:snRNA U6 U6 spliceosomal RNA
CUGCUCACUUUGGCAGCACAUAUACUAAAACUGGAAUGAUACAGAGAAGAUUAGCAUGGCCCCUGCACAAGGAUGACAUGCAAAUUCGUGAAGCUCCAUAUUUUUUA